AAUCCUUGCUCAGGCUGCAGGCAUCUGGCUUGGGUGCAGAAAAUGGAAACUUUUGUGGCAAGGGAGAGCCCCAAGCCUCAUCCUUCCUAACAGCCUUCUCUGUGCUGUGUGGGGUGGGGUAGAUGCUUUGUUUUUCACACACUGGGAUGUACUGGAUGGAUUUUUUGAAACAGAGACCAGGAGUUCACACCUGCUGUAUGGCAGCACCUGGCAGUGCUGUUCCUUACUGCAACAGUUUGGGAUAGAAGCUACAAACUGCUGAUGACCACGGUGCUGCCUUUGUCACCCAGCUGAAACCUGCAGCUGCACCUUUUACAGAGAUGUGGCAGAGUCCAGGACCAUCUUUGCAGGAUGUGAAGCUGCUGCUGUGCCUGCGCACUUAAUGAGAGUGGCUUUCCAGGAGACUCCUUGUUCAAGCAGUGCUGCCUCUCUCCCUGUCCUCCUGUUCCAGCUGACAUUACCACGACGGUGAUUCCCUCUCGGACGGUGCCCCCACACAGCACCACACUGGCCUUGCUGCUGAUUGUCUCCUGGAUGCCAAGAACCAUCUCCUACUGCCAGGCUGGGCAUUGUCCUGUUCAGAGCUGCUGCCCUGCACUUAAGGAAGAGUUGUGCCCAGUGCACGGGAUGCUUGGUACAAGCUUCAGCUGGCUCCUGCCCAUGGGCAGGUGCACCACAGUCAUGCUGGUGGCGAGGCUUCUCCAUCAGCCCCUUGGCCAGAGAGAGCAGGGUUGUGCUGGGGAAGGAGUGACCUGUGCUCCUGUAAACUGAAACAGGGAACUGAAAUGCCACGUGCCUGCCACAGAAUUUUUCCAGGGCACAGCCGAGCCAUGUGUAGUGCUUCAGCCCUCUUGUCCAGAGCUCUGAGGGCUGUUGGUCUGAGUGCAUGAAAGAUCAAGAAUUUGUCUCUGGGGCAUUUUGUAGCAGCACCAUGGCCUUCUCCUCCCCUCCUUGUACACCCUAUCCUCACAUUUGUGUGCUCAGUUUUGCUUGGAGGGGAAAAAGAACCUCUGUGGACCAGGGGAAGGUCUUUGAUAGUGGAAGAUGAGUCCAUGGAAGGCAAGUAGCCAGUUGUGUCCAUGGGGUAGUAUCACAAAUUGCUUUUCUUCCCUCAAGCAUUCUUCCCUCCUAGGCCUUGGCCAAAGGGCACCACCACUGCUUGCAGCACGAGGUCUGGACAUUUUCUGUAAAGUUGUCUGCCUUCAUUGUUCUUAACACGUGUGGGCAGAUGCAAAGUGCUCUGGGACUGCCAUGAAGUGCAGUGGAAGUGCAGAGGUAGAUGAAUAUGUUCCCAUUUUAGCUUUUGUUGAGCAGAAAGUGGCUUGUUUGGGCAUGGUCAUGCCAUGGAGCAGUGGUAAGGCUGGGAGGACCCAGCCUAGGUCAUUCAUCCCUAGCAGCCUGUGUCUUCUGGAUGUUGAAGACAGAAGAAGGGAUGCUGCUGAGUGCUUUUCUGCUGAGUGCAGGUGGUAAAGAGUGGAAAGGCACCAGCUCUGCUUGCUGACAGCUCCAGCUCAACAGGGUGUUUGGCAUUUCUGUGGAGCAGCCCCAGACAGACAUGGAGCAGUGCUGGUGGUGCAUGGAGAAAACCUUCCCUGUGCUCAGGGAGGGGCAUCAGGGUGUCUCCUGCAGCUUAUUAUGUAGAAGGGAGAGACCUGUUGUUAUUUCUCCUUGACUGAUCUCUGAUUUGGCACUGAUCAUUAAUGUGGUUUUGUGUAUUGGAGAGUCACUCUGAGGGUGAUUCACCGUACUUCAGCCUCCCUCCAGGCUUCCUGCCGCCCACAGUGUGCAGCCCCCUGGGCAGAGCUGCGCUCGGGCAGAGCCUGAGCGAGGGCCACGGAGUCUGGGAGUGGAUGUGGCAGCUCUGCCAAUUGACAAGGGCUGGGAGCGAUCAGCUUGGCCAUGCUGCCCGCUCCGCCAGCGGCCUCGGUGUCCCUGUGGUGUGAGCCCAGCCAGCGUGGCCUCGGGGCUUCUCCUGAGGCAGCGCUGGUAUAAUAACACUGAUGAAAAGCUGAUUAAUCCUUGUGAACGAGCCGCAAUAGCUUCCCUCUAGAACUGAAGAGAUUACCACUGAUUUGUCAUUCUGAUUGUUUCAAAGAGACGUGCAAUUAGUUGCUCUAAUUUAGCCUCGCGCUCGCGGAGCGGCGUGACAAGGGCGCUGUAAUCAGUGGGGCUGCGAUGGCAGCCACUGGUGGUGCAGCUGUGCCGACACCAUUUCACGUGCUGAGGGCGGCCGCCAAAAUGGUGGAGCAUCAUGUGCUCCUGUUCUGUUGUGGUGCAAAACCAAGACGUUUUCGAAGGACCGGGUCCCCUCGAUGCUGUGUGGCACUGGGGCAGUGGGACAGGCCUGGCUCUGAGCUGUGCUGGUGGAGCUGGAGCUCAAGGCCUGCUAGGCCGUGUCUGAUCAGGGCUCUUCUCGGUGCUGGUUGUUCUUGGGAAGACACACAGAGAGCAAUGAGUGCUGGCCUAAAAACCCCCAUGAGGUGAUGGGCUGUGUUGGAUGGUGGGCGUGACAUUAUAGUCAUAGUUUGAUUAUAAAAUAGAAAGUCAUAAGGAAAUCUUGUUUUUUUAUUCUGCUCCCUCCAGCUAUUGGCCCUCUUUGCCAGGUGCAGUAAAACCAGUCCCAGGUACAGGAGAGAGGGGUGUAUUUGCUUAAGGUUACCCCUGUCUGAGGACUGUCUCUGCUUUGGAAAAGGUACAAAGCUGCCACAGAAAAUGAGGAGCUGGUGGCUCAGCCCCCCAGCUCGCUGCGCUGGGUCAGCAGCCAACCCCCUCUGGGCAGAGAGGAGGGAACACAUGGGAUUUCAAAAUGUGUCCGUUUUCAGUGAGACAAAUCACUUAAAAAUUCAAUUCAAAAUGAAGAAAAUAA